GAUGAACGCUGGCGGCGUGCCUAAUACAUGCAAGUCGAGCGAACGGACGAGAAGAUUGCUUCUCUGAUGUUAGCGGCGGACGGGUGAGUAACACGUGGAUAACCUACCUAUAAGACUGGGAUAACUUCGGGAAACCGGAGCUAAUACCGGAUAAUAUUUUGAACCGCAUGGUUCAAAAGUGAAAGACGGUCUUGCUGUCACUUAUAGAUGGAUCCGCGCUGCAUUAGCUGGUUGGUAAGGUAACGGCUUACCAAGGCAACGAUGCAUAGCCGACCUGAGAGGGUGAUCGGCCACACUGGAACUGAGACACGGUCCAGACUCCUACGGGAGGCAGCAGUAGGGAAUCUUCCGCAAUGGGCGAAAGCCUGACGGAGCAACGCCGCGUGAGUGAUGAAGGUCUUCGGAUCGUAAAACUCUGUUAUUAGGGAAGAACAUAUGUGUAAGUAACUGUGCACAUCUUGACGGUACCUAAUCAGAAAGCCACGGCUAACUACGUG
rnacentral:rRNA from 1 species